rnacentral:lncRNA from 1 species
CUCCAGUCUCACCUUUCCCCUCCAUUGCCCAAUCACAGGCUCUAGCCUUUAUUGACCAAUUAAAAUGGGAAGAAAGUUCACAUGAUAUCACCUGAGUAUGUGAUGAUCUGCUCAUCAGAGGCAACCCUUCUUGAGGAACCAAAAUCAACAUUAGAAUACAAACAACAUCAGACCAGCCCGCUACAUGACCUCAAAGCCCUACCUCCACAGUGGCACACUUUCUCUAACAAGGCCACACCUCCUAAUAGUGUCACUCCCUAUAGCCCAAGUAUUCAAACACAUGAAUCUAUGGGGAUCAUACCUAUUCAGAUCACCACAGGCUCUUUUGGUGAAUAGGUCUUCAUCUCAGCCCAGACAACUUCAUCUAUAUGAGCCAAGAUCCCAAACUGAAGCCUCAGGAGUACAGGACACACCUAACCAUCAAACAAUCUUGAUAUAACCUAACAUCAAGGGUUUGUUUGCCGUUAAGUACAUUCCUCUAAAUCUAGGCACUAGCUAACUUAAAUAUAUCCUGAACUACACAUAUGUCUCACCAGGCAAAUCCUACAUAUGAGCAAUCUUUACUCACAAAGAUCCCAGUGCUGACGGCAGGCCAGAGAAAAGGCUUUAUUAUACCAACACUCACUGGGUGAUUUUUAGCCAUCAGGUGUCUUAGGCACAUCUCAGGUUCAGGUGUAUAUGGGUUGGACCCUUUCCCAUUCAACUCUGACCCGAUCAUCACCUCAAGGGAAUCAGGACCAUGUUAUGGCCUUAAUGGUAUCCUGGCUAAAACUAGCCAUCAAACAACCUGGGCACAGUCUGGUUAUAUAGGUUGCACCUUGAAGUCAUCCAUGUUUAGGUCUUAUUUAACUUCAGUAAAUGAAGACUUAAUUGUGACCCACUCUACAUACUGCACUCUAAGAAGGCGGAAUCACUCUUACCACAUCAAUGGAUGCUUGUCUGAUACUGAUACCAGUAAAGGUAGCAUCCUGAUAUUCAUGGUUAAGAAGUUAGUAGUGAUCCACCAUAGGAUGGGAGCACCUUAACUCUGAGUGUGUGCGUUCUACUAGGUCUGAGCUGAAGCUGUUUCAUAACUUCUAGGGAGUCAGGAUCACAUUAGAGCCUCAGUGGUAUUUUGUCUUCAACCCAGUCACAAAGCAGCCAGGGCCAAUUUUGGAUUUAAGACAUUUUGUGCUAUACCAUGAGCAAUUUAUUCUGUAAUUCAUGUUGGGUUCAAUGCUGGCUCUUCAUUCUAGCUUGAACCUAUCUUACCCUGAAUGUUUCUUUUGUGAAGACUAACAUCAGGAUACAGGCUGCACAGUGCCACUAAGUGCUGUCUUCUUGCUCUUGGAGCAACAUGUCAGCUGGAUCCACAUUGACACUACUGGCAUUCAGAGUAAUCUCUGUUCUUGGGUUCAGCUCCAACAUCCCUUCAUGAAACUCAAAGUAGAAAGCUGAUGGUAAGAGAAUGUAGCUCUAGCAUGGUGAAUCAUGUCCCUGACAGAGAACACCAGGUCAGUGCAGGACUAAGAAAACUAUCUCACUGCCUCAUGACCUGCCAAUGCAGGGAACAGAGGUAUUGGAUUAUGUUUUUUAUAACAGGACCAUUCAUUCACUCAGCUAUUCAGAAGCAAGCAUGACAGAGGCCAGGGCAAGCAGAGAGGCUUCUCCCAUGAGAUUCUGGACUGUACAGUUGGGUUCUCCUUGCAAAAUCUACUGCUAAGUAUUCAUCUACACUUAUUUAUCCAUCCAUUAAUUAUGCAUGUAAACAUACGUUUAUAUAUGUUUAGUAAGUACUUAAUUACUAUAUAUUGCUGUGUUUUGUAGUGCUCACUGUAAAACACAGAUGCUCUGUCACUCCAUGCCAAAUUUAUGCUAUGAACCCCAAACGCAAACGAAGCUCGCAGAUUAACAGUGUGCAGAGGACAGGAUAGAAAAUAAGUUUUUUUUUUAAUUUCAUAUAUAGAUAUCAAAGGGAAGAAUAUGGCAUCCUGCUCACUUAUAUGAAUGGAACCACGCUGGCUGCAGAACAUCUGAAUUAAGAAAGCAGAAUAUGAGGCUCAGACAUUUGAGCUAGAGAAGCAGCCUUCUCUCCUAAUAUAAGCUUCCUUCCUGUCAUGUGCAUGAGUCAAACAGAGGCUGUAGGACAAUGAAUGGAAAUUAGACAGUGAGGCUCAUAAAUUUCCAAUCCUGGGAUUACCAAGCAAUAAAACACACAUGUCAUUGAGAUUUAUCAAAACCAGAUCCUGGGCUUAGCAGGCAAUGAAAUGCAUGUAUCAGGCUGAUCAGCAUAGGAUCCUAUAUAUGCACAUGUGUACCACAUGCUGAGGAUGGGGGAGUCUUGGAACCUGCCUUUCAGUAGCAGUGGUGAUUCUGAUGAAAGUGUAAGAGACUCACACUUAUGGGGGAAAGUCACGCAUGGAAACUGCAUCUUGGAGGAUUACUGCUGCCAUCAUUUGAGGCCCUGGAGAAAGGUGCUUUUGG